UAUCACGACAAAUUUAUUAAGUUCAGAA
rnacentral:sRNA from 1 species